rnacentral:rRNA from 1 species
CCUACGGGUGGCAGCAGUGAGGAAUAUUGCACAAUGGAGGAAACUCUGACGCAGCCAUGCCGCGUGAGUGAAGAAGGUUUUCGGGUUGUAAAGCUCUUUCGGCUGUGAAGAUGAUGUCAGUAUAAUUGAAAGAAGCGCAGGCUCACUACGUGUCAGCGGCCGCGGUAAUACGAAGGGGGCAAGCGUUGUGCGGAAUUACUGGGCGUAAAGGGAGCGCAGGCGGUUCAGUGAGAUAGUUGUGAAAGCCCAGGGCUGAACUUUGGAAUUGCAAUUGGAAAUAGUAGACUAGAGUGACAGAGAGGUAGGUGGAAUACCUAGUGUAGAGGUGAAAUGCGUAGAUAUUAGGAAGAACACCAGUGGCGAAGGCGGCUAACUGGCCGGUGAUUGACGCUGAGGCUCGAAAGCGUGGGGAGCAAACAGGAUUAGAUACCCGAGUAGUC